rnacentral:ncRNA from 1 species
AAUAAUCCUUUGAUGAGGGAGAGUAGCUAUUAUGUAAGGUUUCAGAGAGCCGAAGGUGGUGUGAUUUCGGUACUAAAGCAAAUAGUGAAUGGGCCUCUGAGGAGUGAUACGAAAUUUUAUUAAAGUAGUUGAUCCGUAAGUCCCACGAUAUAGGGAAUAGGGUAUGUUAGUACCUGAUAAGAGAGGCUUUUAAAGCAAUUUAGGUGGCAACGCGGAUAAUAUCGUCCUAUAC